CCUACGGGAGGCAGCAGUGGGGGAUAUUGGACAAUGGGGGGAACCCUGAUCCAGCGACGCCGCGUGAGUGAAGAAGUAUCUCGGUAUGUAAAGCUCUAUCAGCAGGGAAGAAGAAAUGACGGUACCUGAGUAAGAAGCCCCGGCUAACUACGUGCCAGCAGCCGCGGUAAUACGUAGGGGGCAAGCGUUAUCCGGAAUUACUGGGUGUAAAGGGAGCGUAGACGGUGAUGUAAGUCUGGAGUGAAAGGCGGGGGCCCAACCCCCGGACUGCUCUGGAAACUAUGUGACUGGAGUGCAGGAGAGGUGAGCGGAAUUCCUAGUGUAGCGGUGAAAUGCGUAGAUAUCACGCAGAACUCCGAUUGCGAAGGCAGCAUACCGGCGCGCAACUGACGCUCAUGCACGAAAGCGUGGGUAUCGAACAGGAUUAGAUACCCUUGUAGUC
rnacentral:rRNA from 1 species